UUCUGCCUCUUUCGUUUCUUGGAGGUUUCGUUUGUGCACAUAUAUUCUAUUUGCUUUCCAAGAAAAUUGCUCCGUAAUAUACUUCUAUGCUUCCACUGCCUCCACUGCAUCCUCUGUCGUCGCCGUUUCUCCUCCGGACAGCAGACAACGCCAUUGCCUCCACGGCCGGCGACAGCUUGAGCUCCGUCGACAAUGAUUCAAUGAAAUGUCCUAGUCAACCACAGCGUGGGUUCUUUUCUCCGGAUAUGAUUUUUACAUCAGCACUGAUGAUAUGGAAAGCAUUAAUGUGUAUAAUUCGCAGUGAAUCUCCAUUGCUACUUGUGCUUUCUGGAAGCAUGAAACUUGGGUUCUAAAGGGUGAGAAUUUAUCAAGUUGUUAGUCUCAAUUGGUUUUUUCUCUCUGAAAUAUUUAUGUGGACUGGGUUCAUUUCCAUUAGAGUUUAUUGUCUCCAACGAUUACCAGCCAACUGAAUCCUUUGCUCUCCAGAGUAUAGCCAGACAACCGUCGCAAUUGGUGAAGACAUUGUGCUCUUUUCAAAAUGAGCACCACGUGUUUGGUAGAAGUCCUAGACCAACUCCUAAGUCUAUACACCAUUCCAUGCUGAAUUUUAUUCACCAGAGUCAAUUUGAAGCUUUUAAAGUUUUCAAGAAACAGUUUCAAAUGGGUGUCUCAGAGAACCAGAGAUUGAUGAGUGUGAGCAUAAAUAUAAUAUGUGCAGUCCACAUGCUUUAAUUUGGUAUCAAAACCAUGCAAAAGAUCAUGAGUUCGAAUCUCCGCGUCACCCACAAAAAGAGACUUCCACGUGUUGCUUGGUUGGAAUCCACCGCCACACACGUUGAGGGGGCGUGUGAGCAUAAAUAUAAUAUGUGCAGUCCAACUAAGCUUUUAGUUGAGAUGGAGCACGUGCUUUAAUUAUGAGGUUGCCGUUAGCUCCCAAAGCAUGCAAAGGUGACUUGACAUUUGGGUCUCAAUUACAUAGUCUUACUAUAAGAAGUGCAUUCUUUUCUUAUAUUACCGUCCCGAAUUCAUUGAUGAAUAUGUAUUGCAAAUCUGGACAGUUGAUUUGUGGAUAUCAGUGUACAUUGGUUUUUUUUUUUUU